UUCGUCCUGUGCCGGUAGUAAUAGCGAUGUUUCUGUAAUGGAGAUGUACGCAUAAAGACAGAAAUUCUGUUGCUCGGGCUCCUCUCAAUAAGGGAGAUGAGCAAGAUAUGUUGGGAGAGGACAUGUAGGAGAAGAAAGGCGGAAACCUUUUGAUUAUUUGUGACAAAUUUGGAUAAGAAUCAGAUGAGCGCGAGUGGAUUCGCCCGGCGGCCGCGGCGCGAUGGCGCACAGUGGGAGAAAACCGUUUUACCCGGACAAAAGGCCAAAAAUAAAGUGCUAUAUUCAGGACUAUACUAAGACUUUUUAUAAUCAGGAAUGUCUAAAUAUUACGAAAAAAGAGAUUUUUAUCCUAUGCAUAGCCCACGUGUCUGUAAAUCGUCACUUAAAUGUAAUAGUAAUAGAAAGCAGUGAGAAACUCAGUAUGUUAUACUUUGAUUUGACGGUGCCCAAUGUUAACAAAACCUUAAAGGUAAUUCAAAAUGAGUUGUAUUUCAUUUAGUUCUAUCCUUGUAGACUUUAUGUGACUGUUUAUAUUUGCCAUUUGAUGAAAUAAUAUAGACAUAAUCAUAUGGUAUCAUCCUUAUGUUUAAAAAAAUAUUCAAUCAAGUGUUUUGUGACAUAUAAAAGAGCCAACGCAAGCCAACACUCAAAAUUAAGCAUGAAUCAAAAGUCUAAAUUAUGAGCUUAAAUUUCAAUAAAAAAGCAGCUGCACCUACUUGCCCUUUACUUGGAAAACGACAUAUGAAAUUGGUAUCACAACAGUACUGCGUUCGUCCGAGUGGCGAACAAAACUGCAAAUAUACAUAUUUAUCCUGAAAUCUUUACGAAAAUGUUAUUUCAAUAAUAUAUGAAGAAAUU
rnacentral:lncRNA from 1 species